CCUACGGGUGGCAGCAGUGGGGAAUAUUGGGCAAUGGGCGCAAGCCUGACCCAGCAACGCCGCGUGAAGGAAGAAGGCCCUCGGGUUGUAAACCUCUUUUAAUAGGGACGAAGAAAGUGACGGUACCUGUUGAAUAAGCCACGGCUAACAACGUGCCAGCAGCCGCGGUAAUACGGAGGUGGCAAGCGUGAUCCGGAUUUACUGGGUGUAAGGGGCGUGUAGGCGGGAGAGCAAGUCAGACGUGAAAUUACAGGGCUCAACCCGGGAACUGCGUGUGAAACGGUCUUUCUUGAGUGAUGGAGAGGCAGGCGGAAUUCGGUGUGUAGCGGUGAAAUGCGUAGAUAUGCGGAGGAACACCGAUGGCGAAGGCAGCCUGCUGGACAUUAACUGACGCUGAGGCGCGAAAGCGUGGGGAGCAAACAGGAUUAGAUACCCGGGUAGUC
rnacentral:rRNA from 1 species